AUAGAUCUCCCUACCCUAGGGGACUUAGGUAUUUGUUUGUGCUUUGAAAGUAUUUUAUUCUCGCUCUAAUUUCUUUCGUGGAGUUGCACUAUUUUGUCCACUACAAUUACAAGCAUCGAACAAAAGAAGAAAUGUCCCAUGAACACCAUGAUGAACACCAACCAUGUCUGUAUUGCCACCCGCAUACUUAUAUUAGAAUGGUUCAACACUUGAUAGAUAUGCCUACUGCUUCACGUGAGCCAACACCAAUGUAUUGAAGCACUUUCUACGCGUGCUAAUAUACAGCCUCUAAUCACCCUAACCGGUUUCUUUCUAUCUUUAUGUGGAUUUAGAACUACAAUAUUUUGUUGGAAUCUCUUAUUAAACUUGUAGUAUAUAAAUUGCAGUUUGGAAAGAGUUGUUCAAAGUAAAUAGAGAUUUCUUUCGGUCAUAUUCCGAAAACACGACUUCACCGAAGUCGGCUCUCGAUAGUAAGUUCGUUCACAAAGACAACCUGACCUUUGAAAUUAUGAAAGAUAAUUAAUAAGAAGAAAGCCACUUUUACUAGAGGGAAAGCUGAUUCGGUCUACAAUAUUUGACUUUAUGUCAAGAUUGGAUGGAUUUCAUAAUAAGAUUUCCCUAUCGAUUUUUUUUGGAAAAUACGGGAAGAAAAGAUAUACCUGUUUUCCUUUCUUUUCUUGUUGCGCGUUCUUCUUCAGAAGUUUGCCGUUCCAUUUUGGGUUCUUAAUAGAUUAGCACCAAAUGUAUAGACGUAUUUGUGUGAUACUAUGUAUGGGACAGUAGCACUGCCAACCUUCUCUCAUCUUUCUUUCUCCGUUGAGAACAUUACUUCCCUCGUGCUCCUCUCUCUGAUGUUCUAUCAUAUAUUAGUGUUGUCAUUUAAAUUCUACAAAACUACAAAACUUGACUACUGUCGAUAAACUAAUAUAUAGGGUUCUAUUCACAUCAAACUACUCCAUGGAUUGGAUACGUUCAUGAUAAUGUCGACUAUGUACACACACUUACCUGAUCACCAUUAUGCAGUCUCGACUAUGUACUUGUUAAUGAAUUGCAAAAUGGUCGCCAUUAUGUACAAUUCAAUCUCCUAAAAGUUUCCAACAGUAGCCACUGUAUAGAUAUAAGAAACAUUGAUAUAUAUAUUUGCUCUCGUAUACGAUAGCUUACUCCAUUUUAGUACUUCACCUAUGUAAGUAUUUGGGUGUUAGCAAGGGUUUGUUAAUUAAAAAAUUAGGGUUAAACGGGAUGCGCAUUGGGAUGGUGACAUAGGAAAUUCUAUGAAAGUUUAUUUUAAAUCCACCCGAUAUUGACAGGCGGUCAAAUAGCCAAGACUAAGGUAGAUCUGAUCAGUGGGAGUCGAGAUUUAAAAGAAGGAAAGGAUGGAAAUAGCCAAGAAUGGGAGUCGUGCAUUUGAAACAGAUUGUAUAUUAAGACGCGGUGAUGUAUGUCUAGUUUACAAGCAAAAAUAGUAUAGGUGAUAUUGUAAUAGUGUUUCUCAACCUAUCUACUAAUAUUUAAAGCUUUUUGCUUCAAAAGAAAAAAAUUAUUCAAAGUUUUAAGCCGGAUCACAUUUGGACGGUUGUAACUUUGGUUACCUGAAGAUAAAUCAGUAUGACAAUAAUGCACCAAAUCGUACCAGGCUUGAGCAUCGGAUGGGAUCCAAUGAGUUUCAUCCCAUCUGCAACCAAUCUGCCCAAUGUGGAUUUUGGAUUUGUCAUCUACGUCUAGUCUGUCUGAUGAUGUGUGUCAUUCAAUUCAAUAUAUUCCGAUCAAAUGGAUGAUGAGAUGGGCAGAUUAGACGCGAGUG